rnacentral:rRNA from 1 species
UCCAGACUCCUACGGGAGGCAGCAGUGGGGAAUAUUGCACAAUGGGGGGAACCUUGAUGCAGCAACGCCGCGUGGGUGAAGAAGUACUCCGGUAUGUAAAGCCCUGUCAGCAGGGGAGAAAAUGACGGUACCUGACCAAGAAGCCCCGGCUAACUACGUGCCAGCAGCCGCGGUAAUACGUAGGGGGCAAGCGUUAUCCGGAUUCACUGGGUGUAAAGGGAGCGUAGACGGCGACGCAAGUCUGGAGUGAAAGCCCGGGGCCCAACCCCGGGACUGCUCUGGAAACUGCGUCGCUGGAGUACGGGAGGGGCAGGCGGAAUUCCUGGUGUAGCGGUGAAAUGCGUAGAUAUCAGGAGGAACACCGGCGGCGAAGGCGGCCUGCUGGACCGUGACUGACGUUGAGGCUCGAGAGCGUGGGGAGCAAACAGGAUUAGAUACCCCGGUAC